rnacentral:lncRNA from 1 species
GUUAUCCAGGUCCGAGUUUGGUGAAAGAUGGCUGCUAUAAAUGAUAAGGGUCAUUGCUAAAAAAAAUACGAAUAAUUCAGUCAGAGACAAAAGUCCCAAAACUUGUGGAAUCCUUGUAACAGUAGGAGUCCUAUCAAAGAGGAAGCUGACUAUGAAUAGGACUCCUAGAAGAUCUCAAGUCGUGUUUAAAUAGGAUUGACUUUGGACUUCUGAACUAUCCUUUUACACAUCAACUGCAGUGUCAUAUGUUGUUUUUACUUGUGUUAAGUACUUGUUUGGUAUUCUUCCAAGUCAGUUUAAUGUGUUUUAGGAAAUUGAGUUGUAAUCAAACAUCAUAAACAGUUAGUGAGUUGGAGUGAAUAUUUUGCUUUACAAGUUAGAGUAACUUGUGAAUCAAGUAGGAGUAGUAGGAGUACAGGAGAGUAUUGAAUUACAGUCUUGUGGUAGGUCGUGGUUUUUGCACCUUUUGAGCCGGAUGAUUUUUCACGUAAAAAUUAAAUCGAUAUAUUCAUUGUAUUGGUUAUUUAUUUUAACAUGGUAAAGAAUCAAGUUCUUUAGUAAUCCAUACGGGCACUCGAUCUAACAAGUACACGAGUCUAAAUGAAGAUUUAACUCAUUUAAUAAUUUAGCAGAUAUAUAUCUUCUUUAUUUCUUAAAACCAGAAUGCUACAACAACGACAACAGCGAACAAGAGAAUCUGACCCACAGCCUCUCCUCUUUGUCACUCUCUUUUUUAUUUAAUAGUGCUUAGUACUACUUGUGUAGCUUAUAUAUUUGAAACUACAAAUUACAUAGUCAUAAUUUUGCAGGCUUCAAUUUCAAGGGCAGAAGACAACCCUGUAAUUAGUACCAGAAGGACACGUAAACAAACUGGUUGGAUCAUCCUGUGGAUAACUAUAAGCAUCAGGGCAUCUUUCCUUAAAAAAUCUCGACAAAUCAGUAGGCCCACAUGAUCCAGGCCCAUUUGUACAACAAUAUUCAUUGGUUUUUAUCACAGUACAUGGGUUGUUACAUCCACCUUGUGUUUUCAACUGUGCUGGGCAUUGUUCGUUAAUAGGUGCUGUGCAUCUGAGAUUACGACAUCCUCCAUUGGUCGGGCUGAAUUCCAUGGGGAUGUUAAAUCCAUCAACAAGAGAGAUGUCGACAAAGUCCUGAUUGGGUUGAUUAAGUGCAAAUUCAGCUAAAGUGUUAGGUGCUUUUCCAUAGCCUUGACACUCUAACAUCCCGUUACAGUCUCCAGUCUCACAAUUACCUCGGCCACUGCCAUCGAAGUUGCAAUUGGUUCGACCCCAAAUGCGAGCCUGGACUGUUCCUGGGUUCACAUUAAUGCUCCAAGAUUGGCCUGAGUCGAGCCGCCUGCCUCCACCUGGAGAGGCCGCGGCCCAGACUGUGUAGGUGCAUUUGUUGACAAUGUCAAAAGUGGCAGCAUGAGUAACAGCUACAAAGUAUUGGCCAAAAUAAAGGAAGGCAAAAAAGGGGAAGCUUUUGAGGAAGUUCAUUUUUUUUUUCUUUUUGUAAACUUGAGAAUGUGUUUAUUUGGAGACUAUCUAUGGGUUUAAAUAGCUGAUCAAGUAACAAGCUCUGAAAUUUCAGAGAUUAUGAUAUUCUUGUCCUUGUUAUUAAUGUGCCAAUAAAUUCCAUCUCUCAUUUUUCCAUUUCGUGCCAAACACGCUAAUAGAGACUGGCGGAUCCACAAUUUCAAGAGAAUGGAUGCACUUACACUUGACGGAUUUAACUAUAGUCUCUUUCCAUAAACCCAUUAUCAUUUUGAAAUUAUAGAUUCAAUAUAUAUAAUUAUAUAUUUAUACUUCGUGCCUAAAACAAGACCGUUCGGAGUGGGAUUUGAACCGUCAAUUUCACUUAUAGAGGUGCACCCAAUAACUAAUAUUGCAUCAUAAGAGUCUUUGAGCAUGAGUGCACACACAUAUAUCUAAGUAAUUUUAAAAAAAUAUUACGUUAUAUAUGAUUUAGGGAAAGGAGCAUGAGUUCAUGUGAACACAUAUCCCUUGCCCUAAAUACGUCCUUUUUGCGUGCUAAUUUUUGCUCUUACUUCUCCUGGAAAAUCUUGCUUCUUGACCUGCAAGUCAAGCCGACACUAAUUGAAUUUUCUGAGCUUGGGAAUUGAGGUCCUGAAACUAGCUGGACAUAGCUAUAUAGUGAAUGAACAUUGAUACCACUUUGCCUGUGACUUGUAUACAAAUUUAUUGUUUGAAUAUAUAGAUUUGCUUUUUAUAUUUUUCAUGUGGAGAGAUAUUAAUUACUGAAACACAACUUUUAAUUUCUAAUGCUCAUUGUUCCUCCCAUCACAAAAGAGGGUUCAAAUGCAGGAGAGUGAGAAUAUAUAUGUUUCACGUAUGAAUUUGAAUAUUGAUUUUCUUAGAUAUUUUUUUAAAUGAAAUUCAUAAUCAGAAACUAUUCAAAAUUUGGUUACUUAUAAUAAUUUUUAAAUUAUAAUUCAAUUUUCUUUAAAGAAAAAAAAAUGACUUCUCAAACGAUACAACACAUAUAUUGGUCGAACAGAGACUAAAGCUGACCAUAGUGAUUUGGGAGUCCCGUGUGGAAGGGCUCUCGCUCAACAGAUCAAAUGACACACCAGGAUAACAAGCUGAUGACUUCCAAGAGCUCUUAUCUUCAGAGUCGUUUGGCACCUCAAUUUCAACUUAUCACAUCUUGGGGUUGAAGAAGAUCCCAAGGGUUCGAUUGUUUGCUGAUUCAAGUGGUACGUGAGUUGGACUUAGAAUAUCGUGAAACAGUUAUAUCCUAUCUAUCGUUGGUGUCAAAGGUAGAACUGUGAGAAGCCAACCCUAGUAAAAGAGGACUGGAUUGGAGUUGUUAUGCCAACAAUAGCACAGGGCAGCAAUUCUGCGCCGCGGGAAAUAACAAUUAGACAUUUUAAGUAUUAUUUUAAUGGAUCUGUUUAACUGAGGGAAUAGUAUUGCAAGUGAAAGUUACAACAUUAUAAACCAAGCGCAUGGUUCUGCCAUGUACACAAGUAAAUUACUCCAUCACUCAAUUGGUUACAGAACAUCCUUUCAGAGGACAUCCUAUGAAAAAAAAAAUAUUGGUUGCAGAAUAAUACACCUAUUCUUUUCAUUUUCAAUGAAUAUCUGGAUAAUAUUUUGAAAUUUCAGCUUAAGAAAUAGCAGCGAUUAUGAUAUAAACCAAGCAACAUAGAAAUUUCAAACGUCCUAAGAUACAUCAAUUAAGGAAAAAAUGUUCCAUCCAUUUAGAGCCGUUUGGACAUAAGAAAAUUUUUACUUUUUUCCGAAAUCAUUGUUUGGCCAUAAAUUUUUAAAUUUUCACUUAAAAAUGAAUUUUGAAAUUUUUCAAAAAUUUGAAAAAUUCCAAAAAGUUGUUUUUCAAAAUUUUCAAUCAGAUCACUCACAAAACUUUAAAAACAAUCCAAAAUUAUAUUCAUGUCCAAACACAACUCUAGUUUUCAAAUACCAUUUUCCUUUAAAAAAAUUUUCAUUUUUUUCCGGAAUUUUAUAAUUCUUAUGUCCAAACGCCCACUUAAUUUAUGGACAGAAGACUACUCUGUAAUUGGUUCCAGUAGGACAAGUGAACAUACUAGUGGGGUCAUCUUGAGGAUAACUGUAAAAAGUUGAACAUCUAUCCUUAAAGAUCUUGGAAUAACGGUAAGAUGUGCAACAAUAUUCCGUAGUAUUGAAAACAGUACAAGGAUUAUUACAGCCUCCAGGAAUCCUUAGUUCAUUCGGACACUGUCCUAUGAUGUCGGCAGUGCAGCUGAUCCUAACAGAACAAUUACCAGAUGUUGGACUAAAUUCCAUUGGGACAUUGAAACCGUCUACAAGAGAUAUGACCAACAAAUCAAAAUUGUUCGCUUGUUCUAGGAUGUAUUCAGCCAAAGUGAUUGGAGGUUGUAUGGGGUAAAAUAUGUUAUAACACGUGUGUGUAUAUGCCAAAAUCUGCCCUAAGGAUAUUUAGCGUAAUACGACAUCAAGAAAAGGGUCGGUCGAGCUUGAUCAGGAAGAAACAAAAUUCGUGGCAGAUAUGUCAACCAUGACCGAGGUCGAGCAUCGUGUAAAGAAUAGUAACAGCUAGUUUUCAAAAUAGGAUAUUAGAGAG